AUGAUCAUUGACUUACAUCACGAUAUCUUUUUCUUCCUCAUUCUUAUUUUGGUUUUCAUAUCACGGAUGUUGGUUCGCGCUUUAUGGCAUUUCAACGAGCAAACUAAUCCAAUCCCACAAAGGAUUGUUCAUGGAACUACUAUCGAAAUUAUUCGGACCAUAUUUCCAAGUGUCAUUCUUUUGUUCAUUGCUAUACCAUCGUUUGGUCUUGCGUUGACAGUACUAAUAAUGGCAUUUGUUGUCUUAUUCGGAGUUCAAGGAAUAGCCUUUCAUCUUGGGAAUGAGAAUGUCGCGGAUCUCAAUGUUCUCGUCAUGACCAAUGCUCCUAACAGGGGUGUCUUUCCCAUAGACCAACCUCCCGUUGGCGGACUACCAGACCUCUAG
rnacentral:rRNA from 1 species